rnacentral:rRNA from 1 species
UACGUAGGUGGCAAGCGUUGUCCGGAUUUACUGGGCGUAAAGAGCGCGCAGGCGGUCGUUCAAGUCGCGUGUGAAAGCCCCCGGCUCAACUGGGGAGGGUCACGCGAUACUGAUCGACUCGAAGGCAGGAGAGGGUAGUGGAAUUCCCGGUGUAGCGGUGAAAUGCGCAGAGAUCGGGAGGAACACCCGUAGCGAAGGCGGCACUCUGGGCCGGUACUGACGCUGAGGAGCGAAAGCGUGGGGAGCGAACAGG